rnacentral:lncRNA from 1 species
UAUAGCUGACCCUAGGGCAGGAAAGGUAUUUACAUUAUCACUUGGUCCUUGAAAAUGCUGAUAAGACUUGUAAGGAAACACGUAGGUAUCAUCAAAAGCACUUAAAUUUACAGGGCAUGAUUAGAUUUUAUGUGGACAUAAUGUCCUAGCCACCUUCAAGACAUGUCUCUCUCAUCAGUCCUUUAAUAAGUUAUAUGCCCUGAGGGGAAAAUGCUGCCUGUUAUACAUAUAGAAAAACAGGACAUUUUGCAUGUGAUUGCUGCCACAAGGAUUUCAAUUUUUUAAAAAAGAAGCAUGUACCCACCAUGUCCCAUGAUCUGCACAGCUUCCCAGACUUUUAUCUGAGAUGUCAGAGAGGAGUCCACUGGGCUAAAAUGCUAUUCACAACUGAGAAUUCAUUUGCAGCCUGGAGAGGGCCCGGGGAAUGGCUGAUGCCCCUCUAAACAACAGGUGCCACCACCCCGAGGGCCAACCACGAGUGAUAGGAGAGACAGUGACCCUCAGCUACCAAAAUGUACCAUUGGUCAGCUCUGUAAGGCAGCCGCAGGCCGUGGGGGGGAGGGGGUUGAACCUCAGCUCCACCACCUGACUUAGACCACCCUCUAAUGUGGAUAGUUUUAAGCAAGCAGCCAUAGUAGGACUUACUUUAGGCAGAAGCAGUCAGAGCCUACAGUAGCUACAGAUUCACCUGGGAGUAAUAGAUGAAGAUUGUGCAGUGAGGAAUUAAGGUUUUAGUUCAGUAACCCCAACUUCUUUUGGAACUAUACCUGCAUUUAAAAUAGCUGAACCAAUUCCCCAAUGCUAAACGAAGAAAGAUGUUCACACUUGUGGCCUUCAUUACACAGUUUGCUAUAAUUAGUUAUCAGGGUGCCGAAGGUCAUAAAGGUGCUUUUAGGCCUCACAUUCUACCCAGCAUCCUUGUGAUUUUAUAAGGCUGAAGUAUCUGAGCCAAAUGGGAUUCCUCUUAUAUAGCCAAAACCAUACUACCAUUAGAUAUUGCACCACCGACUUAAUCCUUUAUGAGGUUUAGAUAAAAUACAAGGUGCAGUUCCUCUUGUGAUUACUCAGGGUGAUUAUUACAGGCUCAGAGUGGGGUAUCACAUGACUGCUGCUUUUCACCAGCAGCCCUGGUCAAUGUUACAAUGCAUGCCCAAUGGAAAUUUGCCUCCCAGAUCACUUGGCCAUCAGAGAAACCUGUGUGGGUAGAUCAGUGGCCACUCAUAGGGGGAAAUUGCCUCCACUGUAGUACAGGUACAGUGCAGACACAUGGACAAGUCUAUUAAUCCCCAGAAAACCCCUGUCUAUCCAAAAAAGAAAUCAGGUGAAUAGAGGCUGUUAUAGGAUUUAAGAAUAUAAAUGAAGUCAUGUGGGCAGUGGGCCCCAGCACCUCCUGCUGUAUUAUCACAUUUUCAUUUCAUUAUAGUUGACUUAAAGGGUUGCUUUUCACCACUUGGCUUCAUCCUGGCUAUCUCAGAAAGUUUGCUUUUACCCCUCUGAUGCCUAAUCUUGGUCUGUCUGCACAGCACUAGCCCAGGGUAUGAACACAGCCCUGUUGUGUGUUAGGAAUUGGUUGGUGAGGCUAGCAAGCUCAUACCUGACAAAAAAGCUAAGGUUUACAUCACCCACUAUGUAGAUGAUCUUCUAAUCAGUCAUCCUGAGUCUACCGAACUGGCCAUGAACUUUGUAGCCUCAAAAACAGCCUUUAGAUCUGGGUGUCUUCAAAUUGCUCCAGAAAAGAUUCAGAAGGUAUCUCCACUCCAAUACCUAGAUAAAAUUAUAGGGGAGCAUACUGUACACCCUCAAAAACUAGAAAUUCACAGGGAUUUUUUUUCAAAACUCUAAUGAUUUUGGGAACAGCUGGGAGAUAUAGAUUGGCUCAGCACUUAAGCUUAUUACCCAAGAACUUAGACGGAGACACUGAUCACUCUUUUCCAUGCCAGUUACUUUUGAGGAUAGGAUGACCCUAGCUGUAUGGAAGUGGCUGUGUCCAAGUACAUAUAUAGGACCCAGCCACGCCUUUUCACUAGCAAUCCUAAAACCAUCCAUGAUCCCUACUGGGGCACUCUGGCCACUGCAGAGCAUUCUGAAAUAGUUGCAUUUAGGGCAUUCCUUAUCUAGGGUUUUGAACCUUUGCUAUGAUUUGGUGGCAAAUUUUAUUUCAAAGGGACUCAAACAUACUAUAGGAAUGCUAGGUAAAGCUCUAGAAGUAAGGUAUGUCUCACUCAGGAGGUCGGCAGCACUGGCUCGGGCAGCAAUUCAAUGUCUAGCAGCAUUCAUUGGCUGAUUAUUCUGGCCAGCUUGAUUCUCGGCUUCCACCAUCCAAGGUAGUAUACUGUACCUGACUCAUGGGGUUGCUUUUCCUGAAGGCACACAGUCUUAGCCCCUUGUUUUAGCUAACCUGUUUACACACGCUCCUGACGAUGUUACAGCCCCUACCACUCCACCACUCUUCCUUGGGUUCUGAAGUACCAUGCACAGUAUACUCAGUGAGUUAACUCUGCAGUUUGCAUAGUUUUAGAUUAUUUUGCCUUUCCCUCUGUCAAUAUUUGCAGCCUAUACUCUUACAUAGUAGGAGUAUGGCAAGCCUUAGAGAUGGCCUACAUUGGUCAGGCACCAGAUCAGAAGGUAUACCAUCUUUUCCAUCAGCUCCUGGAACUCUUGCUUCCACGUCAGAGUCCUUGCUAUGUUGGCCAUAUGUGGCCACAUAUAGCUUUCCCCAGACCACUGGCUGGUUGGUAAUGCAUGGCCGACAUCUUGGUCUCAGGGUCCUUGCUCCAAUUCCCUCUUGCUGUGCAGCCUGCCUUG